AUGCACAAACGACGGUGCUUUAGUCGUGCGUAGUGCGCGUUUCUCUUGUAGCCGUGCUCUGUCGCACUGGAACUGUUGGAACGCUGAAGCUGAAGACGCCCUACCUCCAGCUCGUACUGAGAGGGGCACAGGAUCCGGCUGCUCUGAAGCAGAGGGCUAGUUCGACCAGCCGAAGAUGCCAUUACCGGCAAAGCACAGGAUUGGAUGACGGUCGGGAGGAAUUUGAUAAUUAUUGACCCACAUCAUUUUGACGUCGUGCAAGCGAACUCAUAUUCCCUUAAGGCCCGCCGUCUGUGGGAUGUGGUGAGCAGAUGCACUACCGAUUUGACGAAAGGCUACAGUCGGUCCGUUGUGGAAGCGCCAUCUUCUGCCGAUUGGACGCCACAUCCUUCUCGUCAAAGUAAUUU